UACGGAGGGUGCAAGCGUUAUCCGGAUUUACUGGGGUUAAAGGGUGCGCAGGCGGAUAUGUAAGUCAGUGGUGAAAUCUCUAGGCUUAACCUGGAAAUUGCCGUUGAUACUAUAUAUCUUGAAUGCUGUGGAGGUAAGCGGAAUAUGUCAUGUAGCGGUGAAAUGCUUAGAUAUGACAUAGAACACCUAUUGCGAAGGCAGCUUACUACGCAGAUAUUGACGCUCAUGCACGAAAGCGUGGGGAUCAAACAGG
rnacentral:rRNA from 1 species